UACGUAGGGGGCUAGCGUUGUCCGGAAUCAUUGGGCGUAAAGCGCGUGUAGGCGGCUAGGUAGGUCCGUUGUGAAAACUCGAGGCUCAACCUCGAGACGUCGAUGGAAACCAUCUAGCUAGAGUCCGGAAGAGGAGAGUGGAAUUCCUGGUGUAGCGGUGAAAUGCGCAGAUAUCAGGAAGAACACCCGUGGCGAAGGCGGCUCUCUGGUACGUGACUGACGCUGAGACGCGAAAGCGUGGGGAGCAAACAGG
rnacentral:rRNA from 1 species